AUUCAUCACAAUAGUUUGUGUAUGAUAUUAACAAUAUUUCCAUUGAAGAUGAACACUGUUUUAUGGAUACCAGCUUCUUAAUGCCACUUAAAGACAAUAUUUCCACUAUCAAUCUUUUUAGUUAGGCCUACCUACUAUAGCUUUGUUAUUGACGUAUAUAGUGGAUGGUUGGUGCUAAAUGAUUCAGAUCUAGAUAAUAUGAAUUAUGUCAUAAUACUCAAUUUCAGAAGUUAACACUCCUGUAUAUAAGAAAGUGAUAACUUAAGACUUUUCAGUAUACAAAUCUUGUAUAUAAGAAUGAUAUACCGGUAUACCAUUAAGCCAAACAAAAUUAUUUCAUUUUUUAAUUUGUAGUUAAUAUAGGGUGGGUUGUUUUGAAAUGUGCACAAACCAGACACACGUUUUGAAACUGCAUUCUGUAUGCUCUUGAAAUAUACAUUUAACACUGCUACAUCUUUGUUUUUAUAUUUUUUGUGAACAUCUAAAUAUGGCAAAAUGUGUUAUAUUUGGAAUUAUACAGUAAAGUACAGGUUCUAGUAAUUUUAGGGUUGAGUCCAAUCCAGGAUUCGAACCCACAUUCUCAGAGUCAGGCACCUAAUAACCAGAACACAAAGUCAGCAAUCUAACCCACUCAGCCACCGUGACAACUGGUCGUCAAGAUCACCUACUUUGUGUCCCCCGAGACGAGUGUAAAUUGUCACGGCUAUGAAAACAUACGAUGGUUGGUAUUGUGUAUUCAUGUACACAUGGCAUCUACAUCGAAUGUAUAAACAAGAUGCAACUGAUGCUCGGUGAAAACAUGGUAUGGGAAAACUGUAUGUUCCUCCCGAUGGUUGCAAGGUGAAGGCCAUAUAUUACCCUAUACAAGUUAUGGAACAUCCAGACUUGGAAUUCUGUGUGUUGGAAUACCCAUGUUGAGCAUCCUUCACUGAAUUAUUUUCAGAUAACAAGAUUGGUGUUUUUUAACUUUUUAUGAGUAGAAUAUUUUUUGAAAAUGCACAGAGAGUCAGUUGAAAGGUUUUCAAGAAUCUAUAGUCAUGGAAUAGUUACAGAUUAUGUCAUGACAAUCAGUUUCAGGAUGUGAAAAUGAAAUUAAUUUUGUCAAAAAAUAAAUGCAAAAUAGAUGUGUUUUACGAAAAAUCAACUUGCUUUGGUAAAAUAAAUUAUUCAGUCAUUGAUUAUUCAAUCUUUGCUGUAUUUAAAUGAUGGAAGGCUGCCUGUUAGUGUUUGUUGAUACCUUGUGUGAGCUGUUAUAUAACCACUAAAGGUCAAAAUAUGUGUACAUAGACACACUUUAAGCCAAGUAAAGUGACAAUGUUGAUUUUCAUUUGCAGACAUUUCACAUAAUUUAAACAUUUUAUUU